UCGGAUAUGGUGUAGUGGCUAACAUUAUCGCCUCUCAAAAGGAUUCUCUUGAACGCGAUAGCCCGGGGUUCAAUUCCCCGUAUCCGAA